rnacentral:lncRNA from 1 species
GUCAAUCAUUAUCAUCUUUGAAUCCACGUAAUAAUCCAUCAACAUUAAUACAUUAUAAUCCAAAUUAAUAAACUAAAGAUCCAAACUACAAGAUGCAAAUUGUUCUGAUGAUCGAGAGUAUUUUUGCCCAAAUUAAAACAGCAUUCAAACCAACAAAUUCCACCAUCAAAGUGUAGCAUCAUCUUCUUCCACCAUCAUGCCAUCAUCAUUUUGCUACAAAAAAAAA